AGCAACCUUGAGGGCAGAAGAGAAAAAAGAAGUAUGUAUAAACGGCUCUAGCCCUUUGGUUGCCCUAGGCGAGAUUGACUUUUGCGCCCCCUGGGGGUCUGUACCGCUGCUAGUAUCUAUUUUUACAGCGAGAGUAGACACUAAGCGAUGCAUAGAUCUGCUUCAGAGCUCCGUGUGUUUGAGUCUAACCCGUAGACUGGAAACGUCGCGUCACAGGAAAGGUUGACAAGAAAACA